GGGGACGAUCGGUUUCGACGUGGGUUGCAAAGUCUUCAGGGCAUGCCGAGGUGCAGAGCUCCUCGUAAAUCCAACUGCAAAAACUAUAGUUGCCAACGACGACAACUACGCUUUAGC
rnacentral:tmRNA from 1 species